rnacentral:rRNA from 1 species
CAGCUUGCUGCGGGUACUCGAGUGGCGAACGGGUGAGUAACACGUGGGUGAUCUGCCUUGCACUUCGGGAUAAGCUUGGGAAACUGGGUCUAAUACCGGAUAGGACAGCUGUUUAGUGUCAGUUGUGGAAAGUUUUUUCGGUGCAAGAUGAGCUCGCGGCCUAUCAGCUUGUUGGUGGGGUAAUGGCCUACCAAGGCGUCGACGGGUAGCCGGCCUGAGAGGGUGUACGGCCACAUUGGGACUGAGAUACGGCCCAGACUCCUACGGGGGGCAGCAGUGGGGAAUAUUGCACAAUGGGCGGAAGCCUGAUGCAGCGACGCCGCGUGGGGGAUGAAGGCCUUCGGGUUGUAAACUCCUUUCGACAGGGACGAAGCGUAAGUGACGGUACCUGUAUAAGAAGCACCGGCUAACUACGUGCCAGCAGCCGCGGUAAUACGUAGGGUGCGAGCGUUGUCCGGAAUUACUGGGCGUAAAGAGCUCGUAGGUGGUUUGUCGCGUCGUCUGUGAAAUUCCGGGGCUUAACUCCGGGCGUGCAGGCGAUACGGGCUGACUUGAGUGCUGUAGGGGAGACUGGAAUUCCUGGUGUAGCGGUGAAAUGCGCAGAUAUCAGGAGGAACACCGAUGGCGAAGGCAGGUCUCUGGGCAGUAACUGACGCUGAGGAGCGAAAGCAUGGGUAGCGAACAGGAUUAGAUACCCUGGUAGUCCAUGCCGUAAACGGUGGGCGCUAGGUGUAGGGGGCUUCCACGUCUUCUGUGCCGUAGCUAACGCAUUAAGCGCCCC